rnacentral:rRNA from 1 species
UACGUAGGGGGCAAGCGGUUGUCCGGAAUCAUUGGGCGUAAAGAGCGUGUAGGCGGUUCGGUAAGUCGGCUGUGAAAGUCCAGGGCUCAACCCUGGGAUGCCCGGUCGAUACUGGCCGGACUAGAGUUCGGAAGAGGCGAGUGGAAUUCCCGGGUGUAGCGGUGAAAUGCGCAGAUAUCGGGAGGAACACCUAUGGCGAAGGCAGCUCGCUGGGACGUUACUGACGCUGAGACGCGAAAGCGUGGGGGAGCAAACAGG